CACACUCUGAGGCACUGGAGGUUACGACCUCAACAUAUGAAUUUUGGGGAGAAGCAAUUCAGCCUCAAACAGAAGGAUGAGGUUGAUAUGAUUCUAUUUAACCGUCAUUCCAUAUGGGUGCCUUUUAUAACGGUAGAAUUUUUUUUUUUUUUUUUUUGACGGAGUCUCGCUGUGUCACCAGGCUGGAGUGCAGUGGAGCGAUCUUGGCUCACUCCGCCUCCCAGCAGGGGCGGGGUUUCACCAUGUUAGCCAGGAUGGUGUCCAUCUCUUGACCUCGUGAUCCGCCUGCCUGCGCCUCCCAAAGAGCUGGGAUUACAGGCCUGAGCCACCGCGCCCGGCCGUACAGUUUGUAUUCUAACACCAACUCAUAAGGGAAUAAACCAGGGUUACAAGUGUUGCUGCCUCACCAUGGACAUCCCACAGGACAAUCCACUGAACAAAUAACCCUUUUGUGUAGAUCCAGGAUACUUUUCACUUCCUAAACAUAAAUCCCACCACAUCUGUUCAACCAGCUCUGCUCCAGGAUAAAAAAAUAUAUAUUGAUGAAUUUCCAGCCUUGUUUCAUAUUCUGUUGUUCCCGGCAGCAGAUUUAUUUUUUAUAGUUGUAAACCGCCAAGUCAUUUUUUGGUGCUGUCUUUUGUUUUAUAAAGUCUUCCCUAUAAAGACAAACUACAGAGCAUUAUCAAGAUUUUCUGUUAAAUUGUAAAGUUCUUUAGACUUAAAUUUAAAUUAAGAUAUAUUCUUUAAGUACAAAUGAUAUUUUUAAAUUUAUCUAAGGGCCUGGUGGAGUAUGAAGACAAAAAGAAAGAAAACUCUUAAAGAGGGUCACCUUCACUGAUAUUGGCAAAUCCUUGUGUUUUCUGUCUGAAAGAUGAUUCAUGAAUGUUUUGCAUCACUUUCCUUUAGAGAAAGAGUGCAUUCUUAAAGCAUAAACAAUACCUAUUACAAAGCAGCUUCAGUUUUUUUGUACAUUAAAAUAUAUAUAUAAUAUUUGUAUAUAUUGUUCUAAAUCCCUUGCUCAUUCUGAAAAAGUUUUUUUUUCUGACUUGUUUACAAUGACUCUCUUUGUUUUUUUACUGAAAUCAAGUUAGUACUAUCUUCCAAAUGACUAGUGUGUAGAGGGAAAUUUAUAGCACUAAAUGCCCACAAGAGAAAGCAGGAAAGAUCUAAAAUUGACACCCUAAC
rnacentral:lncRNA from 1 species